CUAGCUGGUCUGAGAGGAUGACCAGCCACACUGGAACUGAGACACGGUCCAGACUCCUACGGGAGGCAGCAGUGGGGAAUAUUGCACAAUGGGCGCAAGCCUGAUGCAGCCAUGCCGCGUGUAUGAAGAAGGCCUUCGGGUUGUAAAGUACUUUCAGCGGGGAGGAAGGGAGUAAAGUUAAUACCUUUGCUCAUUGACGUUACCCGCAGAAGAAGCACCGGCUAACUCCGUGCCAGCAGCCGCGGUAAUACGGAGGGUGCAAGCGUUAAUCGGAAUUACUGGG
rnacentral:rRNA from 1 species